CUGGAACGCGCCCCAGGCGCACCCAGAAACCCUUUGUGAACUUAUACCUUACUGUUGCCUCGGCGCCAGCUGGUCCUCCGGGGCCCCUCACCCGCCUGGGUGUUGAGAGAGCACGCCGGCGGCCAGCCCAACUCUUGUUUUUACACUGAAACUCUGAGGAUAAAACAUAAAUGAAUCA
rnacentral:misc_RNA from 1 species